rnacentral:rRNA from 1 species
GACGAACGCUGGCGGCGUGCCUAAUACAUGCAAGUUGAGCGCUGAAGGUUGGUACUUGUACCAACUGGAUGAGCAGCGAACGGGUGAGUAACGCGUGGGUAAUCUGCCUUUGAGCGGGGGACAACAUUUGGAAACGAAUGCUAAUACCGCAUAAAAACUUUAAACACAAGUUUUAAGUUUGAAAGAUGCAAUUGCAUCACUCAAAGAUGAUCCCGCGUUGUAUUAGCUAGUUGGUGAGGUAAAGGCUCACCAAGGCGAUGAUACAUAGCCGACCUGAGAGGGUGAUCGGCCACAUUGGGAAGGAGACACGGCCCAAACGCCUACGGGAGGCAGCAGUAGGGAAUCUUCGGCAAUGGACGAAAGUCUGACCGAGCAACGCCGCGGGAGUGAAGAAGGUUUUCGGAUCGUAAAACUCUGUUGGUAGAGAAGAACGUUGGUGAGAGUGGAAAGCUCAUCAAGUGACGGUAACUACCCAGAAAGGGACGGCUAACUACGUG